CAGUAGGGAAUCUUCCACAAUGGGCGCAAGCCUGAUGGAGCAACACCGCGUGAGUGAAGAAGGGUUUCGGCUCGUAAAACUCUGUUGUAAGAGAAGAACGUGUGUGAGAGUGGAAAGUUCACACAGUGACGGUAACUUACCAGAAAGGGACGGCUAACUACGUGCCAG
rnacentral:rRNA from 1 species